CCGACCAGAAGGAACACAAGAAAGACAUUUUCAACCUUUGGCUUCUGUGCAUCCAAACACCAGGAAUAAAACAUGUGCUUUGGAGUGAGGGGUGGCUCCUGAACCCACUUUUCCUCCUAAGCAGUAAGAGGGGUGAUUGAAGGAGAUGGAAAUCCGGGCCUCCUAUCUCACUUUACCCCAAGAACGUCUUCAAUUGUCCCCAGAAUCCAAAUCGAAUGGAGAUUGUUCAAACCGUGGGCUCAGAAACCCCCUUUCUGUGUCCACUUCAGCUGAACGCGUCUGUGAGGCAGGAAUUUAGACUUGGCCGAGCUCUGAAAGACGAUUCUUGGGAGAUGACUAGGAAAGAAAGGGGAACUGACAGAUUCAGCUGAUGCGAGACAAACCAUUAUCGGGGCAAGAGUGAAGCUGUCUCCCGGCUAGCUGUUCAGCGAGGUUCCUGCUGCAGAUUUCGGCCUGUAUCUGAAACAGAGGCAGACUUUGCAAAGCAGCUUGAGCAGACACAUCUGCGCCCUAACUAGCAUCAUCAGAAGGGCGAUGACAGCGAUGACGAAGCCCCUGCUCCAGACCCGGACGUGUGCAGAGACCCUCUCAUCCAUCCUGCCAGGCUGCGUGCCACGGUGGGGGCCCUCGCAGCGCCCCCCGACCCUCAGCCCGCCUGUCCCUGAUUCAGGCAACCCAUGGCCUCCCUUAACCCUCCAAGUGGCAAAGAGAAAUUUUUUCCAGUUACCUGACUCUUGGGACCACCUGUUCCAAAUUAUUCUUCGCUCUCCAAAUGUUUAUAAUCUAACCCUCAAACAACAACCCACCCCAUAGCAAUCUCGCACCUUCCAGCAAACUCAAUUUGGGCUGCCUCCCGUAACAUUUUAGGGCCUUGCCACUGCCGAUAAAUUUAUUGACUCUUUUUAGGAACUGAAAUGUGUGAUGUUAUAGUAUCGAAGGAACAAAUCAAAUUAGCCCUUGUAAAUACACAGUCAUUUUCCUUUACGGAACCACACACACACACACACACACACACACACAACCUGCUAAAUAUCACGACUCACAAAGGCUUAUAGCUGUGUUCUCUAAAUAAUAUGAUUUUUUUUUUUCCUGUUUUAAAACAACAACAAAGAAUUUCAGGGCAGCAUCAGAAAAUAAUUGUGCUCACCCGGCCAGCGUGGCUCAAUGGUUGAGCAUCAACCUAUGAACCAGGAGGUCAUGGUUCAGGAGGUCAUGGUUCGAUUCCUGGUCAGGGCACAUGCCCGGGUUGCAGGAUCAAUCUCCAGUGUGGGGUGUGCAGGAGGCAGCCGAUCAAUGAUUCCUCUCUCACUGUUGAUGUUUCUCUCUCUCUCUCCCUCUCCCUUCCUCUCUGAAAUCA